rnacentral:rRNA from 1 species
GAUGAACGCUAGCUACAGGCUUAACACAUGCAAGUCGAGGGACCGGCGCACGGGUGAGUAACACGUAUCCAACCUGCCCUUUACUCGGGGAUAGCCUUUCGCAAGACAGAUUAAUACCCGAUAUAAAGGAUGGUGAUGCGUUGCAUUAGGUUGUUGGUGAGGGAACGGCCAACCAAGCCUUCGAUGGAUAGGGGUUAUGAGAGGAAGGCCCCCCACAUUGGAACUGAGGCACAGUCCAAAAUCCUACGGGAGGCAGGAGUGAGGAAUAUUGGUCAAUGGGCGUUAGCCUGAACCAGCCAAGUAGCGUGAAGGAUGAAGGCUUAUGGGUCGUAAACUUCUUUUAUAUAAGAAUAUGUAUUAUAUGAAUAAGGAUCGGCUAACUCCGUGCCAGCAGCCGCGGUAAUUC